GAUUAAAUUUUAUUUAUUAAUUUUGUUUGUUUUUAAAUUUAUUUAAUAAAAAUAAUUUUAUAGAUUUUUGUUUUAGUAUUUUUUAAAGAAAAAAUAAUUUUAAUUAUAGUUUAUUAGUAUUGUAAAAGAAAAUUGAAAUAAUUUGAAAAAUUUUUAUUUUAAAAGAAAAUUUAAUUUAUUGUACCUUGUGUAUCAGGGUUUAUUAAUUAAUUAAUUAUUAUAUUAAUUUUUCUCGAAUUUUAAAGAUUUAAUUAUAUAUAAAAGUUACUGUGGCAUAAUUAUUUUAAAUAUAUAAUUAGAAAUGAAAUGUUAAUCGUUUUAAAAUAUAUCUAGUUUUUUAAGAAAUGAAUUUAAUUUAGAUUUAUAAAUUAAAAAUUUUAUUUUUUUUUUAAUAUUUUUAUUUUAUAAAAUUAAUAUUUUAAGGGAUUAGCUUUAAAAUAAAUUUUUAAAUUUUAAAUAAAAUAUUUUAAUAAAUGUAAGCUUAAAAAUAGUUAUCAUUAAUAAAUUUGUUAUAAUUUAUUUUAAAUUUUUUAUUAUUUAUUGUAAAAUUAAAUUAUUUAUUAAAAUGUAAAUUUUAAUUGUAAAAAUUUAUUAAUUAUGAUAAAAUUAGUAUAUUUAAUUUAUAUAAAUUAUUUAAAAUGAAAGGUUUAAAUAAGGAAUUCGGCAAAUUAUAUAUUCACCUGUUUAUCAAAAACAUGUCUUUUUGAAUUUAAUUUAAAGUCUAACCUGCCCACUGAUAAUAUUAAAGGGCCGCAGUAUUCUGACUGUGCGAAGGUAGCAUAAUCAAUAGUCUUUUAAUUGGAGGCUUGUAUGAAUGGUUGAAUGAGAUAUAUACUGUCUUUUUUAAAUUUUUGUAGAACUUUAUUUUUUAAUUAAAAAGUUAAAAUGUAAUUAAAGGACGAGAAGACCCUAUAGAUCUUUAUUUUUGUUAAUUAUAAAUUAAAAAGAAUAUUUAAAUUUAUAUUUUAAUAAAAAAUUUUACUGGGGUGGUAUUAAAAUUUAAAUAACUUUUAUUGUUUAUUUACAUUAAUAUAUGAAUAAUUGAUCCAAUUUUAUUGAUUAAAAAAUUAAGUUACCUUAGGGAUAACAGCGUAAUUUUUUUUUAGAGUUCAUAUCGACAAAAAAGAUUGCGACCUCGAUGUUGGAUUAAGAGUUAUUUUUAGGUGUAGAAGUUUAAAGUUUAGGUCUGUUCGACCUUUGAAUUCUUACAUGAUCUGAGUUCAAACCGGCGUAAGCCAGGUUGGUUUCUAUCCUUAAUAAAAAUAUUAUAUUAUAGUACGAAAGGACCUAAUAUAAAAAAUAUAGAUUUUAAAAUUAUGAAUGAUAUUAAUAUUUAAUAAAACUAUUUUGGCAGAUUAGUGCAA
rnacentral:rRNA from 1 species